rnacentral:sRNA from 1 species
ACCAUAGGCUUUGGAGACUGAAGUCCUCUGCUUACCCACAGAACAGGUGUGGCCCAGGCAGCAUCCAUGUGCGCUGCCCCAACCUGUCCUGCCAGCAUACCUCAGCCUUAAGCUGAAGUGUCUAUCUCUAGGGAUAAGGGUUGCUUAGUCUCCAAAUCCAUUCAUACCUUGGUUGUU